UGAGAUUUCUGUCACCAAGCACCUAUUUCUCUUCUCUGACAGUACAGUGAGCCUGUGAUGACUCACUCAGAUGUAGGAGUCUACAGCUGGUCUGAUGAAUGCUGCCUGGAGUCUCUUGAAGCACUCAUCAAGGAUGUCACCAGUGCCAGCAACCAGAGCUGACUGAAGACAAGCCAUUCAAAUGAGAAGUUUCUGACACAGGGGGAAGAAAAAGGACAAAAGAAGAUAUGAAAAAGGAGAAGGGAUAAGAGAGAAGGAUAAAGGAAGAAAAAAGUAAGAAGGACAAAUAAGAAAGAAGAGGUGAAAAAAAGUAUUUUCAUGAAGAAUUAUUAAGAUUUUAAUGUAGCUGCAUUUUCAUCUCUUACAAGAAAAAAAAAUACAAUUCUAUACAUGAGUUGUAUAGAAUAGCACUCC